GUAACUUUAGCUCAGAUGGUAGAGCAUUUGACUUUUAAUCAAAGGGUCGGGGGUUCGAGUCCCCUAAGUUGCACCA
rnacentral:tRNA from 1 species